rnacentral:rRNA from 1 species
UAUUGACCGUACCCUAAACCGACACAGGUGGACUGGUAGAGUAUACCAAGGCGCUUGAGAGAACUAUACUGAAGGAACUCGGCAAAUUGCAUGCGUAACUUCGGGAUAAGCAUGACUUCUAUCGGGGCAACCCUUUAGGAGUGGCACAAAAGAGGGGGUGGCGACUGUUUACUAAAAACACAGGGCUCUGCGAAGAUGCAAAUCGACGUAUAGGGUCUGACGCCUGCCCGGUGCCGGAAGGUUAAAAGGAGAGGUGCAAGCUUUGAAUUGAAGCCCCGGUAAACGGCGGCCGUAACAAUAACGGUCCUAAGGUAGCGAAAUUCCUUGUCGGGUAAGUUCCGACCUGCACGAAUGGCGUAACGACUUCCCCACUGUCUCCAGUAUAGACUCAGCGAAAUUGAAUUCCCCGUGAAGAUGCGGGGUUCCUGCGGUCAGACGGAAAGACCCCAUGCACCUUUACUAUAGCUUUACGCUGGCAUUUGUGUCGGCAUGUGCAGGAUAGGUGGUAGGCUUUGAAGCCGGGACGCUAGUUUCGGUGGAGCCAAAAGAUGAGAUACCACCCUUAUCGUCAUAGAUGUCUAACCGCGGCAUAACAGUGUCCGGGACAGCGUAUGGUGGGUAGUUUGACUGGGGCGGUCGCCUCCCAAAGAGUAACGGAGGCGCGCGAUGGUGGGCUCAGAACGGUCGGAAAUCGUUCGACGAGUGCAAUGGCAUAAGCCUGCCUGACUGCGAGACCGACAGGUCGAGCAGAGACGAAAGUCGGUCAUAGUGAUCCGGUGGUCCCGCGUGGAAGGGCCAUCGCUCAACGAAUAAAAGGUACGCUGGGGAUAACAGGCUGAUGAUGCCCAAGAGUCCAUAUCGACGGCAUCGUUUGGCACCUCGAUGUCGGCUCAUCACAUCCUGGGGCUGGAGCAGGUCCCAAGGGUAUGGCUGUUCGCCAUUUAAAGUGGUACGUGAGCUGGGUUUAGAACGUCGUGAGACAGUUCGGUCCCUAUCUGCCGUGGGUGUAGGAAUAUUGAGAAGAGCUGACCCUAGUACGAGAGGACCGGGUUGGACGAAUCUCUGGUGGACCUGUUGUGGCGCCAGCCGCAUUGCAGGGUAGCUAAAUUCGGACGGGAUAACUGCUGAAAGCAUCUAAGCAGGAAGCCUCCUUCAAAACUAGUAUUCCCUUGAGAGCCGUGGAAGACCACCACGUCGAUAGGCCGGGUGUGGAAGCGCAGCAAUGUGUGAAGCUUACCGGUACUAAUAGCUCGAUUGGCUUGAUCAU